rnacentral:misc_RNA from 1 species
UACGGAGGGUGCAAGCGUUAUCCGGAAUCAUUGGGUUUAAAGGGUCCGCAGGCGGACUUAUAAGUCAGUGGUGAAAGCCUACAGCUCAACUGUAGAACUGCCAUUGAUACUGUAAGUCUUGAAUAUGUUCGGAGUGGGCGGAAUGUGACAUGUAGCGGUGAAAUGCUUAGAUAUGUCACAGAACACCGAUAGCGAAGGCAGCUCACUAGACCAUUAUUGACGCUCAUGGACGAAAGCGUGGGGAGCAAACAGG